GAAAUAUGUUGGAAUAAGCAGCACUGGCUAGAAGCCAAAAAUGGGUCCAUCUUUAAUCAAUUCAGUCCCAUCUUUUUAGAUAAAACAACAUUAAUCCUAACCCAAAUAGUGAGGAAAUAAAAGAGAAAACAAGAAGAAGAAAUGGGUGGAAAUGGCCAUGAACAGGUGAUGAAGUCUAGAGUUGUGAAAGUAGAGUCAGAGGAGUCAUGGGAUUUCUUCAUCUCACAAGGCUGCCCUGUUGUAGUUCAUUUCACAGCUUCCUGGUGCAUGCCCUCAGUGGCCAUGAAUCCUUUCUUUGAAGAACUAGCCUUGACCUAUCAAGAUAUUCUGUUUCUUACAGUGGAUGUGGAUGAGGUUAAGGGGGUGGCUAGGAAGAUGGAGGUGAAGGCCAUGCCAACAUUUUUGUUGAUGAAGGAAGGAGCUCAGGCUGAUAAGCUUGUGGGUGCUAACCCAGAUGAGAUCAGGAAAAGAAUCAGUGCCUUUAUUCACUCUAUUCGUGCUUCCAAAACCUAGCUAAAAUAUCUACAUCUUUAAGGUCUUUGAAGGCUUCUUUUUUAGUAUUUUUUUUUUUUCAUUUUAAAGCUGCAUAUGUGAGCUUGUAGCUUCUUUAAUUUCUGGGUUUUGAGUUGCUUGUUGGAAGAAUAUGUGAUUGUUUUAUAAGUACUUCUAUUAUCUCACAUUGAUUUGGGAUAGAGUGUUUAUAUUAUAUAUAAGACUUGUAUAAAUUUUCUCUCUUGAGUUAACUUUCAAGAUAGAAUUAGAGUUUAAUUUUUCUGCUGUUUACCCUAUUUCAGAGGUUUGAAACCUAUAUACAAUAGGUAAUGGCUUGUAUUGGUUUGCAAAGUGCUAAAACCAUUUUUAGGAAAACCUUAAGAUUUACACAACGAAUGGACAAAAGUCAACCAUGAAAAUUCACUUAAAAUUUUUCCAAUUUCAAGAGAGAAAAACUUGUAUGCCAUUUGUGGAAUUCAUGACAGUGAGUACUUGGACCUCAACCUCAAUUUGUCUCUAGAAUAAGUUUUAGCUAAAGGAUGUGAAUAGUGACUACCUUAGAGGACACUUCAAGAGCAAGAACUUGAAGGCAUUGUCAUCAAAAGGAUUAUGCAAGAAAAGAGGUAUGAGUUUGGAUAGGUAUUGAGAAUAUUCUUAACAAUUGACAGUCUAGUGAGCGCAAAUCUUCUAAAUCCACCCACCAAACAACCUACAUUCUUGACCGGCAUCCUCCCAUGAUCUCAAUCCGACCAACUGAAUCUUCUAGCCCCACCAACUGAAUACACUGCAAUUUUU
rnacentral:misc_RNA from 1 species